GGAAUUAAUUUCAAUUUGUGAAGGCAGAUCAAAUAAUGUUUUUCAGAGUAACUUUUCUUUAUUUCUUAGACAAGAAGAAAUAUUCAAAGUGAACAUAUGUAUUGAUGCCACUCAAAAUAAAUUUUAUUAAAUUUUCAUUCUAAUUCUAGAUCACUACGUAUUGAAACUUUCUGAAAUAGACUAUAGUAAAAAAGAAAAGAAAUUGGAGAAAUUCCUUGUUCACAACCUGUACUUGUUAAAAAUUGUACACAGUUAUUACUUCAGUCUUGCUGAAAUUCAGAUUGAUUUUCAUGUAUCUAUGAUUUGAGCUGCGCUGGAUAGAAAUCCACAAAUGAAUAUUAAAACAUCUUUACUCAUAUCGGGUUGAAAAAAAUAUAUAUGCUUUCAAUGCUAAGUCUGUAACUAUAUGAAAAUUGAGAUGAUAAAACAACCAUGCAAAACAGGCCAACAUUCAUGUUUUAUUUCAUAUUUAAAUAUUCAAAGAUCAAUCGA
rnacentral:lncRNA from 1 species